rnacentral:rRNA from 1 species
UACAGAGGGGGCAAGCGUUGUUCGGAAUUACUGGGCGUAAAGCGCACGUAGGCGGAUUGCUAAGUCAGGGGUGAAAUCCUGGAGCUCAACUCCAGAACUGCCUUUGAUACUGGCAACCUUGAGUCCGGGAGAGGUGAGUGGAACUGCGAGUGUAGAGGUGAAAUUCGUAGAUAUUCGCAAGAACACCAGUGGCGAAGGCGGCUCACUGGCCCGGUACUGACGCUGAGGUGCGAAAGCGUGGGGAGCAAACAGG